ACUACCAGGCGGUUACAAACGUCGCCAUCAGUCCGUUGCCUCUCCCGCCUAUAAAAGGGGGACUCAGAUACGUUAUUCUUUAUGCUCUUUUGCCUUAUCUCAAAACUCUGCUAAACUCUCCGUUCGAGCACUCCAUUCUUGUUGAGGCAGAGAACUGACUUGAGCGUCGGAGGGUCUUGUCGGAGCAACCCCACCUCCGGUUUAGACUUCCCUUGCAGGUCCCGGCGGCGACCGCGGCUUCCCCAACUCCAGCUUCUCCGGUGC
rnacentral:lncRNA from 1 species